rnacentral:pre_miRNA from 1 species
AAUAAGUACAGUUUUAACACUGUCCACAUCCAAUGUUUAACCGUUUGUCUUAUUUAAAAAAAAAUAUGAUUAGUAUUUUUAUUAUUAUUACAUGAUAAAACAUGAAUAUUAUUUUAUGUGUGAUUAUUUUUUUAAAAUUUUUUUGAAUGAGACGGAUGGUUAAAACGCUAAAUACGAAUAUCUAUGACUGUAUUUAUU